UACGAAGGGUGCAAGCGUUACUCGGAAUUACUGGGCGUAAAGCGUGCGUAGGUGGUUUGUUAAGUCUGAUGUGAAAGCCCUGGGCUCAACCUGGGAAUUGCAUUGGAUACUGGCAGGCUAGAGUGCGGUAGAGGAUGGCGGAAUUCCCGGUGUAGCAGUGAAAUGCGUAGAGAUCGGGAGGAACACCGGUGGCGAAGGCGGGUCUCUGGGCCGAAACUGACGCUGAGGAGCGAAAGCGUGGGGAGCAAACAGG
rnacentral:rRNA from 1 species